GUUUCAGCUCCAAAACAAUCCCAGACCGCAUUACCCUCAAGGAAGCGCCGUCACCAUUGGGACAAGCCGCGAAUCUUCACGUCACUCAAUCCCUAUGCCCAUAAACAGAAAGAAAGUUACAGAAGAUCACGAAAGAAGAAACACACUAACGCACAUGUUGAUUCAAAAGAAAAGGAAUAUUUUCUGCAUCGUGGACUUGUAAGUGCAACCGCCUUCGACUACUUGAAAAGCGGAGCCCAAUCGUCAGCAGAACACUUAACUAAAAGAAUCGAUAAUACAAUCACCAAGAAUGUUUUUAGAGAGAAGAACGGGGACGUAGGAAAACCCGUGACUGCCUUUCCAGUUUGCCCUAAUCUUCGGAGCAGAUUUGAGGUGCAUUUAAAGAAAUACCAUGCGACGACCUCUAAAACCCCUCACGUGGACUUGAAGAACCUGCCGACGUGUAACAAGUGCUUGAAAACGCGGCCAUGCCCCUGCGAUGCUGUCAAACGCGCCCGUCGGAUUGCAG